CUACUGGGGUAUCUAAUCCUGUUUGCUCCCCACGCUUUCGCGCCUCAGCGUCAGUCAAGGACCAGGUUGCCGCCUUCGCCACCGGUGUUCUUCCCAAUAUCUACGAAUUUCACCUCUACACUGGGAAUUCCACAACCCUCUUCCCCACUCAAGCAACCAAGUAUCAAGCGCAGCCCCCAGGUUGAGCCCAGGAAUUUCACGCCUGACUUUGAUCGCCGCCUACGCGCCCUUUACGCCCAGUCAUUCCGAGCAACGCUAGCCCCCUUCGUAUUACCGCGGCUGCUGGCAC
rnacentral:rRNA from 1 species